GUCGAACGCGAAAGUGGAGCAAUCCAUGAGUAGAGUGGCGAACGGGUGAGUAACACGUGGGGUGACCUACCUUCGAAUGGGGGAUAACGUCCCGAAAGGGACGCUAAUACCGCAUAACAUCCUGCCUUUGAACAGGUGGAGAUCAAAGCCGGGGAUCGCAAGACCCGGCGUUUGAAGAGGGGCCCGCGUCUGAUUAGCUAGUUGGUGAGGUAACGGCUCACCAAGGCGACGAUCAGUAUCCGGCCUGAGAGGGCGGACGGACACACUGGGACUGAGACACGGCCCAGACUCCUACGGGAGGCAGCAGUGGGGAAUUGUUCGCAAUGGGCGCAAGCCUGACGACGCAACGCCGCGUGGAGGAUGAAGGUCUUCGGAUUGUAAACUCCUGUUGCUCGGGACGAAACGCUUCGACCUAACACGUCGAAGUUUGACGGUACCGGGUGAGGAAGCCCCGGCUAACUCUGUGCCAGCAGCCGCGGUAAUACAGAGGGGGCAAGCGUUGUUCGGAAUUACUGGGCGUAAAGGGCGCGUAGGCGGCCUUCUAAGUCGAACGUGAAAUCCCCGGGCUCAACCCGGGAACUGCGUCCGAUACUGGAAGGCUUGAAUCCGGGAGAGGGAUGCGGAAUUCCAGGUGUAGCGGUGAAAUGCGUAGAUAUCUGGAGGAACACCGGUGGCGAAGGCGGCAUCCUGGACCGGCAUUGACGCUGAGGCGCGAAAGCCAGGGGAGCAAACGGGAUUAGAUACCCCGGUAG
rnacentral:rRNA from 1 species